UCGGACUACCAAGCCAAGUAUCAUCACAAAAAGUGGUAGCAUGGAUUAUGUCAACAUGAUUAAGAGCAAACCAUCUAUAUAUAUUCAAGGUGUUCGACCUUAUGGAGCUUGGUGCUAUUAUAUAUGGGUUCAAUAACAACUUUAAAGUUUUGGGAAGCGAAGAGAAAGCUCCCAACGUGGCCAGACCCUCAACAAUUUCUGGCGUUUCAUUAAGAAUUAAUUUUAAUUUUAUUGGGUUCUUCAUUCGAUCGAAGUCGAACAAUAGGAACUGGUGCUUAUAAGCUGAAGGUCGUUUCAAAAGCAAUUUGCCUUCACUCUAUGAAUUUCAAAUCUUAUUGUAAGUUUUUUUAAUUUCAUUUCUGAAACUUGGUUCAAUGGUCUUAUGUGAUAUAUUUUGGUUAUCAAAAGUCGGUUAUUUAGAAAUUGGUUGGGAGUAAGUAGUAAUAGAAAAGAACGAGCUAAAAGGAUAAAAGUUUUAAAGAAUCUAAAAGUCCCUUGUUAUGACAGCUUCCUGUAUUCAUAGGUUUAUGCUGAUAUGGACUCAAAACAUGCUUUUUGAAGA